rnacentral:tRNA from 1 species
GGACGUGGCGGAAUUGGUAGACGCGCUAGAUUUAGGUUCUAGUAAGGUAAUACUUGUGAGAGUUCGAGUCUCUCCGUCCGC